rnacentral:lncRNA from 1 species
UUUUUUUUUUUUUUUUUUUUUUUCUUUUUCUGCUGCAGCUAGGGUAUAUGGAAGUUCCUGGGCCAGGGAGCCAAUCUGAGCUAUAGCUUUGACCAAUGCCACAGCUGUGGCAACUUUGGAUUGUUAACCCAGUGCACUGGGCUGGGGAUUGAACAGGCACCUCCAUAGAGACAAGCCAGAUCUGUAACCCACUGCGCUGCAAGCAAGAACCCCACAUUUUUAAAAUUUUUAUCAAAAUAUUUGGGAGUUCCUGUUGUGAUUCAGCAGGUUAAGAACCCGACGCAGGGUCCGUGAGGAGCAGGUUGGCUCCCUGGUCUUGCUCAGUGGGUUAAGGAUCUGGUGUUGCUGUGAGCUAUGGUGUAGGUUGUAAAUUCAGCUCAGAUCUGGCAUUGCUAUGGCUGUGUUAUAGGCCAGUAGUUGCAGCUCUUAUUUGAUCCCUAGCCUGGGAACUACCAUAUGCUGCAGGUGCAACCCUAAAAAGAAAAAAACUGUGAUCAUAUUCUAUCCUUCUUUUGCUUAUCAUUUUAUGCAUUGUUCUACAAACUUACAUUGCAUAGUUACAGCGUGGAGGCUGGGUGGUUUUGGAGGCAGGGGGUCUAUGGGAACAUCUCUCUGUUUAUCCUACCCAGAUCUCAUCACCUCCAAGGCUCAGUUUCCGGGUUACUCUUGUUGUGAGCCCUUUCCUUGGCUGAAGUGUCAGGGAAUUGCGUCCUCCUUUGAGUACCUGUAGGAACACAUGCUCUCUUCAUUCAGCUCUUUCUUCCCUGCCUUGUUUCAGAGGAGGAAAUUUAAGGUGCCUUGCCUCUUUGUGAGUAUGUUCUGUCUCUCCAAGCAGAGUAUAUAUAUAUUUUUUUGCAGUGGCUUGAGGAUGCGGUGUUGCCACAGCUGUGGUGUGAGUCCCAGCUGCAGCUUGGAGUUGAUCCCUGCCUGGGACUUUCCAUGUGCCAUGGGUUUGGUCAUUAAAAAAAAAAAAGCGGAGUUUCCAUCGUGGCUCAGAGGUUAUCAAACCUGACUAGCAUCCAUGAAGCCUCGGGGUUCGAUCCCUGGCCUCGCUCAGUGGGUUAAGGAUCUGGUGCUGCAGUGAGCUGUGGUGUAGGUUGCAGAUGUAGCUUGGAUCCAGUGUUGCUGUGGCUGUGGCAUAGGCCGGCGGCUACAGCUCCGAUUAGACCCCCUAGCAUGGGACCCUCCAUAUGCCCUAAAAAGACAAAAAGGCCAAAAAAAAGGGGGGGGGGAUUAAUAGAUGAUAGUUGGUGAUGGGACCUGCCCAGGGUAGACAGGAUAUUUUAGAAAAUCUGAGUUUGUAGGAAUUACCUCUACUUCCAGGGUAAUUUUCUAUUGCAACGGAUAAUUAGCUAUACCUAAAAACGAUAGAUGCAGGGACCUGUUUCUGUGUCAGUACAUGGAGGCUCCUUGAGUGAGCAUUUUUUCAAGAUCUUAGACUAAAAUGUAGACUCCAUGAACGGGAAGGCCUUUGAUCCCUGCAGGGACUGGCUUUGUCCCACACGUGUGUCCCUCUUGCAUGCUCCCUUUCCACCACCUCUGCCCGGGAUCCCAGCUCAUGUUGUCUUCCCCAGUCAGCUCCUUGCUAAUCUCCUAGUCUCUUUCUCUCAGCUGCUAUAUUUGUGUAGCUUUCAUCUGCCUCUGUCAAGUCUCACUUCCUCAGUGAGGCUCCGUAAUCUGGCCACAGAUGGCCAUUUCCAGCCUGAUCCAUCUCCACAUUUCUUCAUACACCUGCAGUGAAUGAACCCCAUGUCAUCCCAGGAGGAUUAAGCAAUCUAAUACUUCUCUGCUUUGAUCUUGUUCUUUUCUCCCCUUGCUCCUCUCCUUUUCCAGGUAUAAAAGUCAUACUCAUUCUUUGGGUCAGGUUUCAGUGCAAAUACUAUCUUCUAAGUAAAGUCAAAUUUCUCCCUUCUUCUACCUGCAUGUAGCACUUUUAUUAUACAUUUAUUCUGUUUUAUUAUAAUUUAUUGAGUUGUAUAUCUUCCCUACUAGAUUGUAAACUCGCUGAGGACAAAAACAAGGUCUUUUUUUGUAUCUCUAUCCCCUAGAGAACUUAACACAGUGCAUGGGAGUUCCCGUCGUGGUGCAGUGGUUAACGAAUCCGACUAGGAACCAUGAGAUUGCGGGUUUGAUCCCUGGCCUUGCUCAGUGGGUUGAGGAUCCGGCGUUGCCAUGAGCUGUGGUGUAGAUUGCAGACGUGGCUCGGAUCCUGCAUUGCUGUUGGCUGUGGUGUAGGCUGGCAGCUAUAGCUCCGAUUUGACCCCUAGCCUGGGAACCUCCAUAUGCUGUGGGAGUGGCCCAAGAAAU